rnacentral:lncRNA from 1 species
CCACUCAAUUUUGGUUUUGCGCCCCUCCAGGUUCAGGAAUCACAAAGGUGUGGUGACUACGAGGAAUUCGACGGUGUUCUGACAGAUUGGACAAAAUUAGGACUCACCUUCGGGUGUAUCAACUUAUAAAUUGUAUCUUAAAGCUUCCGUACUGUGCAAAUGGUCACGUCACUCUCACGUGACGGCCAGCAUGCCCUCCUUCGGGACGGGGUGUGUCAUAAUUCUCACUUUACUACCCUCAAGUAUUGUGAAAUUCCGACUUUCAUACCUAAAUUGUUUUUCGUCUCACUUUCAUACCUAAAGUCUACAUAUUUUGUCAUACUUUCAUACUUGCGUUACCUUUUCUGUCAGCACAUCCGUUAAUGCGUGACGUGAUACUCUCGUAGACAAUGACAUGGCACAACGAGCCCUGUAAUAUAUGAGGCAAAUAAAACGUAAAAGAAAAUUUGGACAAAAAUCAACAAAUAAAAAAUAAAAGACAAAUUAUAUUUGUAUUCAUUUUAAUAUUUUAUUUAAAAAAUUAAAAAGAAACCACUGCUCUUCUGCACCGCAUCAUCGCCAUUGAUGCCAAGUCCAACAUGCUUCAGCUCCUCAACACAACUCCCCCAAUUGCAAUUUUCAAACAAUUUUCUCAGCCUCUCGAGUAAAAGUAGAAAUAUAGAGAAUAAUCUUAAGGAUGACUUUGAAGUACGAUUUGGAUUGUUCUCAAAAAGUGUUGUUAGCCCCCUACUCAAAUGAGUUUGCUAAAAAGUUCUUGGUAAAUCUCUUCCAUGAUACAACAUAGUAUGUUCGAUUAACAAAACUGAAUUAUAUUCCUUUAGAAAUAACUAGAAAGAAAUUGCAUAAAUGUGAUGGAGAGAGAAGAGAGUAAGGAAAGUAAAAAUAAGUUUCUGAAAUUGUGUUUGAAAUAGUAUACCACAAUAAGUAUUUAUAGACAUUAAAGCAUCCGUUCAUCGAGUCCCUUCAUUUUAGUUGAAGACAUACAACUCUUUUUAAUAGUGCUGACCCAAAAAACAUGUCAUCUAUUUAGAGUUUCCAGAAAAUAAAUAUUGACUGAUUGCAUCUUUUAAUUCUACUGAGUAAGUAUCAUGUCUUUUAAUAAAAAAUUGUUCAACCAAAAGGUACAAGGUUGAAUUAAAUCCAACCUUUCUAUACAUAUGUUGCCUCACACAUCGCAGCGGCACAAGGUCGUGUGUAUGUGUAUAUAUUUAUUGAAAUCUCUAGCACUCUCUGCAAAUUUUCUUCCCCAAUAAAACUUCACUCUAAUCAUUACUAAGUUCAUCUUCCUAUUUUCCCACCUGGGUUGUAUUUCGAUUUUCCUUUCGUUUUCUACCUGGCUGUCGAAGGAGCGCACCUGGGUUGUAUUUAUGACAUGACAAACAGUGUUGUUCUCAAAGUUGCAUUCGCAGUCAGUAUUUUUCUGGGAUCCCUUGGUUGCUUCUCUGUUACCCCUACCAUAUUGUUUCGGAAAAAUUAGUAUGAGAUCUUUAAUUUCUAAUGUUCAUUAACUGAGACCUUAUCAGUUUUUAGAUUUUGAUCAAAGUUUCUAAUAUUAGUAUUAAUGAGUUACAUGUCAGUUACAUAAUUGUUUUUAAAAUAAAAAUUAGUAAUUGAUUUAGGGUUUUAAUACUCACAUCCUUACUAAAUUCCUAAUUAAUUUUCAAUUAAAAACAUCUCCAAAAUAUAAAAAAUAAAAUUAGAAUAAGUUUGUACCCAUUAAUUUUUUUUUUUAUAAAAAAUUUCAAUUUUUUAAUCUUAUAUGUACCCAUUCAUAUACCAAUUUGUUAUUUUUAGAAUGUACCUUUUUUAAUAUAAAAUGUACCUAUUUUUUAUAUAAAAUUCAUUCAAUCUUUUUCUUAUCAAUUUUUUAAAACUUAUAUGGGUUCAUUACGUUCUA